UACGGGGGGGGCGAGCGUUGUUCGGAAUUACUGGGCGUAAAGGGUGCGUAGGCGGUUUUGCAAGUCGGGCGUGAAAGCCCUGGGCUCAACCCAGGAUGUGCGUUCGAAACUGCAAGGCUUGAGCACGAGAGAGGAUGGUGGAAUUCCCAGUGUAGAGGUGAAAUUCGUAGAGAUUGGGAAGAACACCGGUGGCGAAGGCGGCCAUCUGGCUCGUUGCUGACGCUGAGGCACGACAGCGUGGGGAGCAAACAGG
rnacentral:rRNA from 1 species